rnacentral:rRNA from 1 species
CCUACGGGUGGCAGCAGUGAGGAAUAUUGGUCAAUGGACGAGAGUCUGAACCAGCCAAGUAGCGUGAAGGAUGACUGCCCUAUGGGUUGUAAACUUCUUUUAUAUGGGAAUAAAAUGUUCCACGUGUGGGAUUUUGUAUGUACCAUAUGAAUAAGGAUCGGCUAACUCCGUGCCAGCAGCCGCGGUAAUACGGAGGAUCAGAGCGUUAUCCGGAUUUAUUGGGUUUAAAGGGAGCGUAGGUGGAUUGUUAAGUCAGUUGUGAAAGUUUGCGGCUCAACCGUAAAAUUGCCGUUGAAACUGGCAGUCUUGAGUACAGUAGAGGUGGGCGGAAUUCGUGGUGUAGCGGUGAAAUGCUUAGAUAUCACGAAGAACUCCGAUUGCGAAGGCAGUUCACUGGACUGCAACUGACACUGAGGCUCGAAAGUGUGGGUAUCAAACAGGAUUAGAUACCCUUGUAGUC